GGGGACGUUUUGGAUUCGACAGGGGCAGAUCGAGCUUAAGCUGCGAGCCGAGUUGGCGAUCUCGUCAAAACGCCGUGCCAAGAAUAACUGGCAAACAACAAGCUAACCUCGCUCUUGCCGCUUAAUCGCCAAGAGCGGUUCCUCCCUUCAUCGCCCAUGUGAAGGGUCAGGGACUUAUAGGAAUGGGCUACGCCUUUUGCCUGCCGUCUGAGGGCAAAGGAAGAGAUCUUCCCAGACUAGCGUUACGGAAGCCUGUCGGUAGGCUGAAGUAACCGCGAAAGAGAAUAUACCGACUACGCUCGUAGAGGCUUAAGCGGCGAUGCUUCUGGACGUGGGUUCGACUCCCACCGUCUCCAUCA
rnacentral:tmRNA from 4 species